UUUCCUUCCCCAGGGGCAUUGCCCUGCUGAAGCCUUUCGCGGCGACUUUAAACAUACGCGCAGUUUGGAUGGCUUCCAUCCGGGCAACGCCAUCACUGUGCUGGAAGUAUGCCUCGCGGCGAUAACCAGCGGCCGACCCCCCCGGGGCGUCGGUUCACAGAUCAAACGAUGGUGGCCGCCGAAGGCGGUUUAGAUAUGACCGAGCCCAGCCGUUCGCAUGGCUGUGAUAGCUGUUCCGUAGGUGAACCUGCGGAAGGAUCAUUACCGAGAUUUCGUUUAGGGCUCUGCCCACGCGUCUCCCACCCAUUGUGAACCUUACCAUUGUGGCUUUGGCGGACCAGCAGGUCUAACCCGCCGCCGGCUUUUAGCUGGCGAGUGCCCGCCAGAGUCUAAUCCAAACUCGUUUAAUUAGUGAAGUCUGAGAAAAAAUAAAUAGCAAAAAACUUUCAACAACGGAUCUCUUGGUUCUG
rnacentral:misc_RNA from 1 species